UACGAAGGGGGCUAGCGUUUGCUCGGAAUCACUGGGCGUAAAGGGUGCGUAGGCGGGUCUUUAAGUCAGGGGUGAAAUCCCUGGAGCUCAACUCCCAGAACUGCCUUUGAUACUGAAGAUCUUGAGUUCGGGAGAGGUGAGUGGAACUGCGAGUGUAGAGGUGAAAUUCGUAGAUAUUCGCAAGAACACCAGUGGCGAAGGCGGCUCACUGGCCCGAUACUGACGCUGAGGCACGGAAAGCGUGGGGAGCAAACAGG
rnacentral:rRNA from 1 species